rnacentral:rRNA from 1 species
GAUGAACGCUGGCGGCGUGCCUAAUACAUGCCAGUCGAGCGAACAGACGAGGAGCUUGCUCCUCUGACGUUAGCGGCGGACGGGUGAGUAACACGUGGAUAACCUACCUAUAAGACUGGGAUAACUUCGGGAAACCGGAGCUAAUACCGGAUAAUAUAUUGAACCGCAUGGUUCAAUAGUGAAAGACGGUUUUGCUGUCACUUAUAGAUGGAUCCGCCCCGCAUUAGCUAGUUGGUAAGGUAACGGCUUACCAAGGCAACGAUGCGUAGCCGACCUGAGAGGGUGAUCGGCCACACUGGAACUGAGACACGGUCCAGACUCCUACGGGAGGCAGCAGUAGGGAAUCUUCCGCAAUGGGCGAAAGCCUGACGGAGCAACGCCGCGUGAGUGAUGAAGGUCUUCGGAUCGUAAAACUCUGUUAUUAGGGAAGAACAAAUGUGUAAGUAACUAUGCACGUCUUGACGGUACCUAAUCAGAAAGCCACGGCUAACUACGUG